rnacentral:rRNA from 1 species
UAUACUCUCUACCCUUUGUGACUAUUAUACCUGUUGCUUCGGCGGCGCCCGCUAGGGUGCCCGCCGGUCUCAUCAGAAUCUCUGUUUUCGAACCCGACGAUACUUCUGAGUGUUCUUAGCGAACUGUCAAAACUUUUAACAACGGAUCUCUUGGCUCCAGCAUCGAUGAAGAACGCAGCGAAACGCGAUAUGUAAUGUGAAUUGCAGAAUUCAGUGAAUCAUCGAAUCUUUGAACGCACAUGGCGCCUUCCAGUAUCCUGGGAGGCAUGCCUGUCCGAGCGUCGUUUCAACCCUCGAGCCCCUGUGGCCCGGCGUUGGGGAUCUGCCACGGCAGGCCCCUAAAACCAGUGGCGGACCCGAUGGGCCCUCUCCUUUACGUAGUAGCAUUCGCCUCGUAUUGGGAGUCCUCGGCGUCCUGCCUCUAAACCCCCCACAAGCCCGCUUCGGCGGCACCAAGGUUGACCUCGGAUCAGGUAGGAAUACCCGCUGAACUUAAGCAUAUCAAUAAGCGGAGGAAAAGAAACCAACAGGGAUUGCCUCAGUAACGGCGAGUGAAGCGGCAACAGCUCAAAUUUGAAAUCUGGCUCCUUCGGGGUCCGAGUUGUAAUUUGCAGAGGAUGCGUCGGGUACGGGUCCCUACCGAGUUCCCUGGAACGGGACGCCAUAGAGGGUGAGAGCCCCGUCUGGUAGGAUACCCAGCCCAUGUGACGCUCCCUCGACGAGUCGAGUAGUUUGGGAAUGCUGCUCUAACGGGAGGUAUACUCCUUCCAAAGCUAAAUACCGGCUGGAGACCGAUAGCGCACAAGUAGAGUGAUCGAAAGAUGAAAAGCACUUUGAAAAGAGAGUCAAACAGCACGUGAAAUUGUUAAAAGGGAAGCACUCGCUACCAGACUUGGGUUCGGCGGUUCAACCGGGGCCACGCCCCGGGGCAUUCCGCCGGCUCAGGCCAGCAUCAGCUUUCCGUCGGGGGCAAAGACGUCGGGAAUGUAGCUCCUCUUCGGGGGAGUGUUAUAGCCCGGCGUGUCAUACCCUUCGGGGGGCUGAGGUACGCGC